AAUACGUAGGGGGCGAGCGUUGUCCGGAUUUAUUGGGCGUAAAGAGCUCGUAGGCGGUUAACUAAGUCAGAUGUGAAAACUCAGGGCCUAACUCUGAGCCUGCAUUUGAUACUGGUUUGACUAGAGUCAAGUAGGGGAGUGUGGAAUUCCCAGUGUAGCGGUGAAAUGCGCAGAUAUUGGGAGGAACACCAGCAGCGAAGGCGGCACUCUGGGCUUGUACUGACGCUGAGGAGCGAAAGCAUGGGUAGCAAACAGGAUUAGAUACCCUGGUAGUCCAUGCCGUAAACGUUGGGCACUAGGUGUGGGGACCACUCAACGGUCUCUGUGCCGAAGCUAACGCAUUAAGUGCCCCGCCUGGGGAGUACGGCCGCAAGGCUAAAACUCAAAGGAAUUGACGGGG
rnacentral:rRNA from 1 species